AUUCGAUUAGAGUUUGAUCCUGGCUCAGAACGUACGCUGGCGGCACGCCUAACACAUGCAAGUCGAACGAAGUAGCAAUACUUAGUGGCAGACGGGUGAGUAACAUGUGGGUAUCUGCCCUUUGGCCUGGAAUAACACGAGGAAACUUGUGCUAAUACCGGAUAAGUCUUUACGGAGAAAGCUUUAUGCACCAUUGGAUGAGCCCGCACUUGAUUAGUUUGUUGGUGGGGUAAUGGCCUACCAAGACUGUGAUCAAUAGCUGAUUUGAGAGGAUGAUCAGCCACAUUGGGACUGAGACACGGCCCAAACUCCUACGGGAGGCAGCAGUGGGGAAUCUUGCACAAUGGAGGAAACUCUGAUGCAGCGAUGCCGCGUGAGUGAAGAAGGCCCUUGGGUUGUAAAGCUCUUUCGUCGGGGAAGAAAAUGACUGUACCCGAAUAAGAAGGUCCGGCUAACUUCGUGCCAGCAGCCGCGGUAAUACGAAGGGACCUAGCGUAGUUCGGAAUUACUGGGCUUAAAGAGUUCGUAGGUGGUUGAAAAAGUUAGUGGUGAAAUCCCAGAGCUUAACUCUGGAACUGCCAUUAAAACUUUUCAGCUAGAGUAUGAUAGAGGAGAGCAGAAUUUCUAGUGUAGAGGUGAAAUUCGUAGAUAUUAGAAAGAAUACCAAUUGCGAAGGCAGCUUUCUGGAUCAUUACUGACACUGAGGAACGAAAGCAUGGGUAGCGAAGAGGAUUAGAUACCCUCGUAGUCCAUGCCGUAAACGAUGUGUGUUAGACGUUGGAAAUUUAUUUUCAGUGUCGCAGCGAAAGCGAUAAACACACCGCCUGGGGAGUACGACCGCAAGGUUAAAACUCAAAUGAAUUGACGGGGACCCGCACAAGUAGUGGAGCAUGUGGUUUAAUUCGAAGAUACGCGCAGAACCUUACCAACACUUGACAUGUUCGUCGCGACUCUAAGAGAUUAGAGUUUUCGGUUCGGCCGGACGAAACACAGGUGCUGCAUGGCUGUCGUCAGCUCGUGUCGUGAGAUGUUGGGUUAAGUCCCGCAACGAGCGCAACCCUCACUUUUAGUUGCCAUCAUUAAGUUGGGCACUCUGAAAGAACUGCCAGUGAUAAACUGGAGGAAGGUGGGGAUGACGUCAAGUCCUCAUGGCCCUUACGUGUUGGGCUACACACGUGCUACAAUGGUAUCUACAACAGGAAGCAAGACUGCGAGGUCAAGCAAAUCCUUAAAAGAUACCUCAGUUCGGAUUGCACUCUGCAACUCGAGUGCAUGAAGCUGGAAUUACUAGUAAUCGUGGAUCAGCGUGCCACGGUGAAUGCGUUCCCGGGUCUUGUACACACCGCCCGUCACACCAUGGGAGUUGGUUCUACCUUAAGGCAAGGUUUCAAACCCUUGACCACGGUAUAGUCAGCGACUGGGGUGAAGUCGUAACAAGGUAACCA
rnacentral:rRNA from 1 species